UGGGGAAUUUUCCGCAAUGGGCGAAAGCCUGACGGAGCAACGCCGCGUGAGGGAUGAAGGCCUCUGGGCUGUAAACCUCUUUUAUCAAGGAAGAAGAUCUGACGGUACUUGAUGAAUAAGCCACGGCUAAUUCCGUGCCAGCAGCCGCGGUAAUACGGGA
rnacentral:rRNA from 1 species